rnacentral:rRNA from 1 species
UAGGGAAUCUUCCACAAUGGGCGAAAGCCUGAUGGAGCAGCGCCGCGUGUGUGAUGAAGGGUUUCGGCUCGUAAAACACUGUUGUAAGAGAAGAAUGACAUUGAGAGUAACUGUUCAAUGUGUGACGGUAUCUAACCAGCAAGUCACGGCUAACUACGUGCCAG